UACCAGCACCCCGAGUGGUCGGGACGAUUAUUGGGCCUAAAGCAUCCGUAGCCGGCCUUACAAGUCCUCCGUUAAAUCCAGCUGCUUAACAGAUGGGCUGCGGAGGAUACUAUAAGACUAGGAGCAGGAGAGGCAAGCGGUACUCAGUGGGUAGGGGUAAAAUCCGUUGAUCCAUUGAAGACCACCAGUGGCGAAGGCGGCUUGCCAGAAUGCGCUCGACGGUGAGGGAUGAAAGCUGGGGGAGCAAACCGG
rnacentral:rRNA from 1 species